UCAGCGGGGGCAUGUGCACGCUCUGUUAACACAUCCACUCACACCCUGUGCACCCUCUGUAGUUCUGUGGUUGGGGGACCCAUCCUCCUGCUGUGGUUCUGCAUCUUUACACACACACACUGUAACAAAGUCUCAUGGAAUGCAUCUGCGUUUAACGCAAUACAAUACAACUUUCAGCAACGGAUCUCUUGGCUCUCGCAUCGAUGAAGAACGCAGCGAAAUGCGAUAAGUAAUGUGAAUUGCAGAAUUCAGUGAAUCAUCGAAUCUUUGAACGCACCUUGCGCCCUUUGGCCAUUCCGAAGGGCAUGCCUGUUUGAGUAUCAUGAACACCUCAACUCUUCAUGGUUUUCCGUGAUGAGCUUGGACUUUGGGGGUUUUGCUGGCCUUCGGUCGGCUCCUCUAAAAUGAAUCAGCUUGCCAGUGUUUGGUGGGCAUCACAGGUGUGAUAACUAUCUACGCUUGUGGUUUUCCCACCAGGUAACCUUCAGCAGUGGAGGUUCGCUGGAGCUCACAGAUGUCUCUCCUCAGUGAGGACAGCCCUUUGAAUGUUGAUCUCAAAUCAGGUAGA
rnacentral:rRNA from 1 species